rnacentral:rRNA from 1 species
AGUCGAACGGUAACAGGCCGCAAGGUGCUGACGAGUGGCGAACGGGUGAGUAAUGCAUCGGAACGUGCCCAGUCGUGGGGGAUAACGCAGCGAAAGCUGUGCUAAUACCGCAUACGAUCUAUGGAUGAAAGCGGGGGACCGUAAGGCCUCGCGCGAUUGGAGCGGCCGAUGUCAGAUUAGCUAGUUGGUGGGGUAAAGGCCCACCAAGGCGACGAUCUGUAGCUGGUCUGAGAGGACGACCAGCCACACUGGGACUGAGACACGGCCCAGACUCCUACGGGAGGCAGCAGUGGGGAAUUUUGGACAAUGGGCGCAAGCCUGAUCCAGCAAUGCCGCGUGCAGGAAGAAGGCCUUCGGGUUGUAAACUGCUUUUGUACGGAACGAAACGGUCCUGGUUAAUACCUGGGGCUAAUGACGGUACCGUAAGAAUAAGCACCGGCUAACUACGUGCCAGCAGCCGCGGUAAUACGUAGGGUGCAAGCGUUAAUCGGAAUUACUGGGCGUAAAGCGUGCGCAGGCGGUUUUGUAAGACAGGCGUGAAAUCCCCGGGCUCAACCUGGGAAUGGCGCUUGUGACUGUAAAGCUGGAGUGCGGCAGAGGGGGAUGGAAUUCCGCGUGUAGCAGUGAAAUGCGUAGAUAUGCGGAGGAACACCGAUGGCGAAGGCAAUCCCCUGGGCCUGCACUGACGCUCAUGCACGAA